rnacentral:RNase_P_RNA from 1 species
GAAGCAAGCCAGACCGCCGCUGGGGCGAUCGCCGAAAGGCGGCCCUGGAGGAAGGUCCGGACUGCACAGGGCGGCGUAGCAGCUAACGGCUGUCCACCGUGAGGUGAGGAUCAGAGCAACAGAGACGAGUCGGCGCGGGGUCCCGAGCCGGGUGUUCUGCGCAGCGCCUGCGUCAGCAGGCGCCAAGGCGGCGAAAGCCGACUUGCGACGGGCGAAAGCCCGGCGGGCAGCAGCCACCCGAUGCGGGGCGAAGCCCCGCAUCGGGUGAAACGGGCAAUCUCUACGCGCAGCAACACCGAAUAGGCACACAUUGAUCCGGCCCGGGGAGUGUGCGGGUAGGUGGCACCGAGCCGGUGGGGUGACCCCCGGCCCAGACGAAUGGCGGUCACGGCGCGGUCUUCGCAAGAGGAACGCGCUGCACAGAAUCCGGCCUAUCGGCUUGCUUCACAC